GACGAACGCUGGCGGCGUGCUUAACACAUGCAAGUCGAACGGAAAGGCCCUGCUUUUGUGGGGUGCUCGAGUGGCGAACGGGUGAGUAACACGUGAGUAACCUGCCCUUGACUUUGGGAUAACUUCAGGAAACUGGGGCUAAUACCGGAUAGGAGCUCCUGCUGCAUGGUGGGGGUUGGAAAGUUUCGGCGGUUGGGGAUGGACUCGCGGCUUAUCAGCUUGUUGGUGGGGUAGUUGCUUACCAAGGCUUUGACGGGUAGCCGGCCUGUGAGGGUGAGCGGCGACAAGGGGACGAGGAGAGGGACCAGAGUCCAACGUGGGGCAGUGGGCGGAAGUAUGGCACAAUGGGCGGGAGCGUGAGACGAAAACGCUGGUGUCGUAAUGACGUCUUGCGGGUAGAGAACCGCAUUAGCCUGAGACGAAGCUUGUAUGACGGUAAUGGGAAAAGAAGCACCGGCUAACUACGUG
rnacentral:rRNA from 1 species